AAACACUAACCCAAGCUAAUCUUGAAGAACCAUUUCGUGCUUCAUCAAUGGAAAGAGAGCUUUUCCUUCAUAUGAAUGUUGGCGACGGUGAAAGGAGUUACGCAAAUAACUCGUCACUCCAGAGAAAAAUAAUGCUUAAAGCCAAAGCCAUGCUUCAAGAAACUAUAACAAGAUUAUACUGUCAUUCUUCUCCAAACUGCAUCAAAGUGGCAGAUUUAGGUUGUUCUGUGGGACCAAAUACUCUUAUUGUAAUGUCAAAUAUUGUUGACAUUGUUCAUGCUACAUCUAUUCGUUUGAAUCGUGAACCACCCACAAUCCAAUUAUAUCUGAAUGAUUUAUUUGAAAACGAUUUCAAUACCAUCUUCAAGUCGCUUCCUGAUUUCUAUACCAAAUUGCGGCAAGAUAAGGGUCAGAAGUCUGGUUCUUGCUUUAUCAAUGCCACUCCUGGAUCUUUUUAUGGGAGACUCUUUCCUAGUAAUUCCAUAAACCUAUUUCAUUAAUUCUGCCAACAGUGUGCACUGGAUAUCUCAGGAUCCAUUUUUAGGGUUAAGUAAGGAGGCACUAAACAAGGGAAACUGUCACAUAGUUAGUACAAGCCCUCCAUACGUAUACACAACAUUCCUUAAGAAAUUCCAAAAGGACUUUGAAUUGUUUCUGAAAUCACGUUCAGAGGAACUUGUGCCUGGAGGAGCAAUGGUGUUAUUGUUACUUGUCAAAACUGAAACUCCAAGAAGAAGCAUUUGGGAAGCAAUUAGUCUAACAGUUACUGACAUGCUCUUAGAGGGUUUGGUUGAAGAAGAAAAAUUGGAGUCCUUUAACAUACCAACAUAUAAACCUAGCAUUGAGGAAAUAAGAGAGGUGAUUCGGGAAGAAGGGUCUAUUCUUCAUUCAAGAAUUAGAGAUUGCCAUCGUGCCUUGGGAUGAGGGAAGAAAUGAAGACGGUGAUGACGUUUUUGUUGAUGAAAAUAUAAGAGCCGAAUUCGUAGCAAGACACACAAGAGCUGUAAUGGAAUCUCUCUUAUCUGCUAACUUUGGUGCAAAAGUUAUGGAUGAAUUGUUCAUUAGGUUUCAAAAGAAAGUUGUGCAACUCCUGGAAGAGGAGAGAUUAGAGUAUGCUAAUUUGGUGAUAUCUCUUACAAAAAAAUGCUUAUAGAGUUAUUGUUUGUUAAAAAAAAAAGGUUAGCAAUAGAUAUCACUCUUUGGUUUCAACUAAUAUUUGUUGUUUCUUAGUAGUUUUCAAGAGGGAGAUAUACUGUGAAAUGAUUGAAUAAUAAGCAGCAAAACAAAAAAUAUAUAGAGGAUGAAAUGAAUGAGAAAUUAGAAAA